GAUGAAGAACGCAGCGAAAUGCGAUAAGUAAUGUGAAUUGCAGAAUUCAGUGAAUCAUCGAAUCUUUGAACGCACAUUGCGCCCCUUGGUAUUCCGAGGGGCAUGCCUGUUCGAGCGUCAUUAUAACCCCUCAAGCUCAGCUUGGUGUUGGGGCCUGCUGCACUGGCAGCCCUUAAAAUCAGUGGCGGCGCCAUCUGGCUCUAAGCGUAGUAAUUCUUCUCGCUGCUGGGCCCCGGUGGCCGCUUGCCAGCAACCCCAAACUUUCUAUGGUUGACCUCGGAUCAGGUAGGGAUACCCGCUGAACUUAAGCAUAUCAAUAAGCGGAGGA
rnacentral:misc_RNA from 1 species